UGACGCGACGACGAACGAGGACGGACGGUACGGCCACGGUAGGUACUGUGACUGGGGUG
rnacentral:rRNA from 1 species